CAUUUUUAUUGCGUUUUUAAUGGCAUUUCUUUCCGGUACGACGCCUCCGAAUAGCCAGCAAAUGUUGAAGGCUGUCGCACAAGCUUCAGCCCCAGUUUCAGCCCCCAGCUUUAGCUUUCAGUUUUGGCAUCAGCUUUGGCCACAGAGCCAGAAUGCAUACAUUUAACUAGGCUGGGAUGUAGCUGGGAUGCCCGUGUGUGUGUGUGUGUGUGUGUGUUUGAUGUGGGGCAUGUGGCAUGUGGCAUGCGGCACAUGAAAACUCAUUAUUCAGGUAAACGCAGCCAAAAAAGAAAUAAAGUAAAGUAAAGAACGUGCGCUCAUUUGGCUGGAAAAUUUUACAGCAGUCCAAGUUGUUAGUGCAAACAAAGGGAAGUGUUGGAAAGAGUGUUGGGCAACGAGAAAUGACAACGGGGCAAUUGAAGCUCACUUGAGUGCCACAGUGAAAAUCAUAACUAAUGGCAAUAAAACUUGUUUGUGUGAUUAUUAACAUUUGGCCUCGCAGCUUAACAGCAUUAACAUGUAUGUGUAGGUACUUGGAUAUGUGUAUGAGUGCGCUUAUCUAAUUGUGACCUAAAUCGCACAAAGGACCCAUUAUCUAUUAUAUCUGCUGAACAAUGAACUGAAACUACAACUUGAUUAGCUGAAACAAGCGAAAAACACACGAGCCCAAACCCUAUCUUCUAUGCGGGCUAUUCUAUAGUAUAAAUUAUUGAUUUAAAACUACAGCAAGGCCAACUGCCAGCAGCGAACAGCUAACACAGCACAAAUUAUAUCCUAGCCUCUCCAAUGAGUGCUUACUGUUUGUGCAGUUCUUGUUGUUUUUGUUUUGUUUUGCUGAUGAUUUUUUGUGUUGAUGUCACGCAAAACUUAAUACCCAAAGCCAAUACGAAAAGCGAACGGUAAAUAUACGCACACACA
rnacentral:sRNA from 1 species